rnacentral:sRNA from 1 species
UAAUAAUUCCGGUCUU